UACAGAGGGCUCAAGCGUUGUUCGGAUUCAUUGGGCGUAAAGGGUGCGUAGGUGGCGAGGUAAGUCUGGUGUGAAAUCUCGGGGCUCAACCCCGAAACUGCACUGGAUACUGCCUUGCUCGAGUACUGGAGAGGAGAUUGGAAUUUACGGUGUAGCAGUGAAAUGCGUAGAUAUCGUAAGGAAGACCAGUGGCGAAGGCGAAUCUCUGGACAGUUACUGACACUGAGGCACGAAGGCCAGGGGAGCAAACGGG
rnacentral:rRNA from 1 species